rnacentral:rRNA from 1 species
AUUGAACGCUGGCGGCAGGCCUAACACAUGCAAGUCGAACGAGUGGCGGACGGGUGAGUAAUGUCUGGGAAACUGCCUGAUGGAGGGGGAUAAAUACUGGAAACGGUAGCUAAUACCGCAUACCAUCGGGUGUGCCCAGAUGGGAUUAGCUAGUAGGUGUGGUAACGGCUCACCUAGGCGACGCGCCCUAGCUGGGCUGAGAGGAGGACCAGCCACACUGGAGAUGAGACACGGUUCAGACGCCUACGGGAGGCAGCAGGGGGGAAUAUUGCACAAUGUGCGCAAGCCUGAUGCAGCCAUGCCGCGUGUAUGAAGAAGGCCUUCGGGGUGUAAAGUACUUUCAGCGGGGAGGCGUUACCCGCAGAAGAAGCACCGGCUAACUCCGUGCCAGCAGCCGCGGUAAUUC